rnacentral:rRNA from 1 species
GACGAACGCUGGCGGCAUGCCUAACACAUGCAAGUCGAACGGAGAAUGUCAAAUGAAGUUUUCGGAUGGAUUUUGAUAUUCUUAGUGGCGGACGGGUGAGUAACGCGUGAGCAACCUGCCUUUCAGUGGGGGACAACAGUUGGAAACGACUGCUAAUACCGCAUAAUGUAUACGGAUCGCAUGGUCUGUAUACCAAAGAUUUAUCGCUGAAAGAUGGGCUCGCGUAUGAUUAGAUAGUUGGUGAGGUAACGGCUCACCAAGUCGACGAUCAUUAGCCGGACUGAGAGGUUCAACGGCCACAUUGGGACUGAGAUACGGCCCAGACUCCUACGGGAGGCAGCAGUCGGGAAUAUUGCGCAAUGGAGGGAACUCUGACGCAGUGACGCCGCGUAUAGGAAGAAGGUUUUCGGAUUGUAAACUAUUGUCGAUAGGGAAGAUAAAGACUGUACCUAUCAAGAAAGCUCCGGCUAACUACGUGCCAGCA